CCUACGGGAGACAGCAGUGAGGAAUAUUGGUCAAUGGACGCAAGUCUGAACCAGCCAUGCCGCGUGCAGGAAGACGGCCCUAUGAGUUGUAAACUGCUUUUGUACGAGGGUAAACGCAGGUACGCGUAUCUGUCUGAAAGUACUGUAUGAAUAAGGAUCGGCUAACUCCGAGCCAGCAGCCGCGGGAAUACGGAGUACUCGAGCGUUAUCCGGAUUUAUUGGGUUUAAAGGGGGCGUAGGCGGUUGGGUAAGUUAGAGGUGAAAGCCCGAGGCUCAACUUCGGAAUUGCCUCUGGUACUGUUCGGCUAGAGUGCAGUUGCGGUAGGCGGAAUGUAUGGUGUAGCGGUGAAAUGCUUAGAGAUCAUGCAGAACACCGAUUGCGAAGGCAGCUUACCAAGCUGCGACUGACGUUGAGGCACGAAAGCGUGGGGAGCAAACAGGAUUAGAUACCCUAGUAGUC
rnacentral:rRNA from 1 species